GUGCUCGUAGCUCAGCUGGAUAGAGUGUCUGACUACGAAUCAGAAGGUCGCAGGUUCGACUCCUGUCGGGCACA
rnacentral:tRNA from 1 species